CCUACGGGAGGCAGCAGCAAGGGAUAUUGCACAAUGGACGAAAGUCUGACGCAGCGACGCCGCGUGAGGGAUGAAGGCCUUCGGGUCGUAAACCUCUUUUAUUGGUGAAGAGUAAGGACGGUAACCAGUGAAUAAGCCCCGGCUAACUACGUG
rnacentral:rRNA from 1 species